UCAAUGAAAACGAUGGUCACGUGACUCACAAAUGCAAAAAAAGUGUUGAAAAUUUGUCAGUGUACGAUCCCUCCAAUUAAUUAUAACAGUUUUGCUGUAGUUUAGUGGUCUGGACUCAGGCUAAGCCAAGUUUUAUUACAAUACACGUCAUAUAUGACCACGUGUAUUGUAUUUUAGCCACUGUGGGUCUAUCAUCUUCCACGAGGCGCCAAACAUUAGCUUCUCAUUACAAAAUUGAGAAUUGGCAACCAAAUCGCUGAAAGAAGUAUACGUAGUAAAAGUAACUGGAAACAAAUUUUUGUUAUUGUUCUUGGCUAAAUCCUGCUCAUCUAUAUCAAAGCUACGUGAAUAUAAUUGUAUACAGCACGAGUGUCUUACUACUUUACGUGUUCAUCACAAGUACUAAAUUCUGUUUUUGGGGUGAAAAUAAACGGCUGAAUAGUAACAAAGUUCCUGCAACUAUAAAUCUUUCAAGAAGAUACAAUAGCCUUAUUAUUCCUGUUAUUAUUGAAACCAAUAUUUUUUGUAUAAAAAAUAACAAAAAUAAUAUUUGAGUAUAUAAUUAA